rnacentral:miRNA from 1 species
UCUUGUCAAUGUUUAGGGGCA